AUGGCCGUCAAAGAGACGCGGGCUCUCUCCACCGUGGUUGAAGCCGAUGAGGUGGAUUCUUCGAAUGCAAGCACAGAGCAGCAUGUUUCAACGGUUCUAGAUUGUGAGUCAGGCCAGAAAUCGAGGACUCCAAGCUUUAUUGAUGUCGAAAGGGGAAACAGUGGAUGGGUUCGACGACGUAGGCACGGUGCAAUGCCAGAUGAAAGAGCUGCAAGCGCAGAUAGGAUAAGUGCACUUGAACUUGCAUUUAGAGGAUUUGCUGAGAGGAAAGGAGAAGCAGUAGUGGUGCCUUCCAUGGGAUUGACAUUUGAUUCUCUUGGAGAAGCUUAUGACUAUUACAAUCUUUAUUCGUGGGAGUGCGGGUUCGGAAUAAGGUACGGAAAGAGUCGUACAAACGUCAAAGGAGCUAAAAGUAUGCAAGAGCUACUCUGCAGCUGCGGGGGCAAACCAAAGAAAAUUAACUCAAGUUCUUCAAGAACAGAGUGCCCAGCCAUGAUUAGAUUGCUUAGAACUGAAGACGACGGCUGGUACAUAUGCGAAUAUAGAGUAUCUCACAACCAUGAGAUGUUGCACACGUACGCACAGAAACUCCACUUCCCUUCACACAGGCACAUCGACAAAUACACCAGAGAGCUGGUUUCUCGGUUGCGUCAGAAUAACGUUAAUCUUAGCAAGGUUUAUAGCAUAAUCGGCACAUUUUUCGGUCGUAUUGAGAACGUCCCUUUCACAAAGAGGUGCCUGCGGACGUUGUGUGCAAAAUUGAGCAGAGACCAGGCAGAUGAAGAUGUUAAGAAAACCAUGGAUUAUUUUGCAGAAUUGAAGCAGUACGACCCUGAAUUCACUUACACGGUGCGUGUAGACAGUGAAAGUAGAGUUCAGACACUCAUAUGGACAACUGGGAAGAGCAAAUUGCAGUACCACUACUUCGGUGACGUUAUUACAUUUGACACUACCUAUAGGACAAAUCUUUAUGACAUGCCGUUCGGACUUUUUGUUGGAGUGAACAACCAUUUCCAGAGUGUGAUAUACGCUGGUGUGCUUAUGCGUGAUGAGAAGGUUGAGACCUUCAACUGGGUAUUUUCUGAGUUUGUAAAGCUUAUGGGAGGGAAAAAAACAAUUACAAUUCUAACUGAUCAAGCAAGAGCUAUGGAGGUCGCUAUAGAGGAGGUUUAUCCUGAAGCAACACACCGUUGGUGCAAGUGGCACGUUUUAAAGAAAGCAAAAGAAUCUCUAGGUACUCUGUACAACAAACGCAGUGAAUUCAGGGAUGAGUUUCACAAGCUAAUACAGGAUAUGCUCACGGUGGAAGAGUUUGAAAAACAAUGA
rnacentral:rRNA from 1 species